GACGAACGCUGGCGGCGUGCUUAACACAUGCAAGUCGAACGGAAAGGCCCUGCUUUUGUGGGGUGCUCGAGUGGCGAACGGGUGAGUAACACGUGAGUAACCUGCCCUUGACUUUGGGAUAACUUCAGGAAACUGGGGCUAAUACCGGAUAGGAGCUCCUGCUGCAUGGUGGGGGUUGGAAAGUUUCGGCGGUUGGGGAUGGACUCGCGGCUUAUCAGCUUGUUGGUGGGGUAGUGGCUUACCAAGGCUUUGACGGGUAGCCGGCCUGAGAGGGUGACCGGCCGCGUUGGGAAUACGCUACGGCCCAGAGUCCUCCGGACGGCAGCAGGGGGGAAUAUUGCCCACUGGGCUGAAGUCUGAUGCAGCAACGCCGCGUGCGGGAGGAGGGCCUUCGGGUUUUAAAACGCUUACGCCUGUUACGAAGCGUGAGGGACGGUAAUGAGUAAAGAAGCAACGGCUCGCUACGUG
rnacentral:rRNA from 1 species